UGGAAAGAAUAAAAGACAGGAUUUUGCAUUAGACUAACGGUGAAAUGGUUUAAAUAACAAAACAAACAAAAACAAACCAGGAUACAAUCCCGAAACAGAUCUGGACAAAACUAAACAAACUGCAAUGACAAAAAUGAAAAGAUAAGAAGGUUUGACACAAGACAAUAUCUGGGUUACAACCCUAAGAAUAAUCCGGACAAUAUAAAUGACAACAAAAUAAGCCACCAAAAGCUUCUCUCCUAUUAACCAAGGAACGGAGCGUCCUCCCACUUAUCAAACAUGGCAUCUUAGCCAUUGAGCUUCGCAUCAAUAUUGCCAAGACCAUUACCAACUUCAAUAUCAUCAACCUCGGUCAACAAAUUCCCAAUAGGAUUCGAGUGCUCCAUGUCAUCAGGCCUCAUCCCCACAAAGUGUGCAUCAUGAUGUGCAGGUAAAAGAUUUUGCGUGAUAUUCUGGGUGUCCUUGUCUUAGAUUACAAUCAGGUUUUCCUGGAUCUUGUGUUCCCGGCUUACCGCAAACCAACCACCUUAACUUUCUUUGCUUCAAAACAAAACAGGUUAGAAUGUCCUUAGUCGGUCCUCAUUAUUAACAUCUUUUCUUUCUUUUUUUUCUUUAUUUUUUUCUUCAUUUUUUUUGUUGUGGUCGAAUCUUAUGGAGAUUGCCUACGUAUCAUGACCCCGCAUGAAUCAGACCUUGCGUAGUUCGGGCCCAUAAAAGGUAAUCCACAAUAAAACGUUUGAGCUAUCACACCUCCCUUUUCAGGCACCGCAAGAGGGUACAAAGGAAUUUUUCCAAUUAAAGGACAAUCGAAACGGAAUUAUUAUUAAAGAAUCAGAAUCACCACUUGGGAAAAUUUAUGGUGUCCCAAGUCACUGGUUUAUUCCCGAAUUGAGGAAAAUAUUGACUCUGUUUAACAGUCCACGCAUCAAAAAUCCAGAUAAGGAAUUAUGUUAACCCGGGAGAAGGUCUUAGGCAUUCCCGAGUUCCGUGGUUCUAGCACGUUCGCUCAACUGUCAUAUUUAGCUUAUUUAUCUGAUUUAUAACAUGCUUUAACUUAUGUGCAAAUUUUAACCUUUAGCCGCUUUUAAUAUUAUUAUUAUUAUUUUAACAAAGAAUUGCAACGUUGUAAAAAUGUAUCUCGAACCACGUCACAUCAAUGUACCCAUGAUUAUCGACACAUUUCGACUCUGUUGAGAUUUAGAUUUAGGUCACAUAGAUGUGCACCCGAGUUUAAGAAGGUAAAUUAUUAAAAUACGCACCUAAAACAACUACGCAUUGCGAUUUACGAGAGCCAUGAAAUUUACUACCUGGCACGCCUCAAACUACAGAUAUUCAGAAUUCUCUUAAAUUAAUUUUGAGAUCAAUACAAGGCUAUGAGAUGCAGAAGUCAUCAAGUAAAGUUACGUGAAAGGAAACAAAAAUGGAUGAUUUGCGAGAUUAAGUUUUUGCAUCUGGGGUCAUAAAACACACGAAAAAGGGAGCCAUAAUUGUUAAUGGGCGGCAUGGGAACUGAAACUCUUUAUGAAUGAUUAAAUUCAUUUCCAUAUUUAAGGCCUCAAUAAAUCAUACCCAGAACUAAUCACGCCAACUCAAUGCAUUCAUCUCGUCUUGUAAGUGAGUUAUAUUGACAUGUAUUUAAUUUAUAUUUCAAAAUGUUGAGUUAACUUUAGAGAAAUUCAACUAUUAGUUACCUAAAGUUUUCACAUGCAAUGCUUAAAAAAAUACAACUGAAACACAUUUCAAGAACGUGAACACCCCAUACUUCCUUCGAAUAGACCAUUAAUCGUCUAAUGACAUAAAACAUCUAUAUUCCAAUUUUGCAUAAUCCGACUAGACCAUAACUUGUUCAAGAUUAAAUCCAUAACCAUUCCCUAAGGAGGACACCUCUCUGUUUCACACCACAAUCCCAAUUCCAGAAUCAAGAUCAAAUUUGAACAGAUCGUACACUAUCAAGAGUGACAACAAAUCUACCUAGCAAGAAUAUAAUAGAGGGGCUAACAACUAAAAAAACUACAAAUUGCAACAAAGAUGUAUAUAAUUAUACCUUAUUCAAACAUGACUGGACCUCACGCAACAAUCGAUUCUGUAUUUUAACGGAGUAUCUCAAUAUUUGAGCAUGAUAGACUGCACAUCAUUCGCUUUCAUCUCCAACUUAUAAUUAUCAGAAUAGUUGUUCUAUACAAAAUCACCUACCAAACCAGAACAGCCUAUUUCAAACAAAAUUAUAGCUAAACACAGACGUUUGAAGCAGUAUGUUGCUGCAGUACCUUGAAAGUUCCAAAAUAACAUACAUUAAACUUAACAUGGAUUAAUCACAACACUUAACUAAUGGUCAAUAUUUUUAUCGUCCCUUGCCUCGACAGUCCAAAAUCAACUACAACAAGAAAUUCUGAAGCAAAUGAAAUUACUGCAAAGGCUAUGCUAAUUUCAAUAGAGACAGGUUGGCAUGAUAAUUCUCAUGUUGAGUAUACAACAAAAUAAAUAACUGAAACUAAACUAAUAUUUGAAUAUGCAGAAGUUACAUUUGGAAAUCCUGAUUUUAUUUCAAUUUAUAUCAAACUUCAUGUGAGAUGAAUCGAGGAACAUGUACCUGGAAAAUGAAAUGUAGGAAAGCAAAGGAUAAGUCAGUGACCAAAUAGCACAGCAUAUGAAGCUCAGCAGCCAAGCAUAACCAGAAAAUGAUUCGAAAUACUUCAAAACCAAUCUCAAUUGAGCAAGUAAUCACAGCAGCCUUCACAAACCAAACUCUUUUGAAGCAAAACCCAAGCUCAAAAAUUAACCCAUUUAGACAAGAGGGGUUGCUCUGAUGGUAAGCAACCCCCACUUCCAACCGAGAGGUUGUGUAUAUAUUAAUUAAUGAUACAAAUGUUGUUGAGAUCAAUCUAGUGACAGAUAAAACAAAAAUUUAUAUGAGCAAAAAUAGGUAAGAGAUUAAUUAUUAAAUACAUACCAGGAGAAGCACUAGGAGUGGUGGUACCUAAAAUCGAACCAUAGGAAAUAAGUCAAAUACAUAAAUCUUCACCCUCAUAUGUAAAAUUCAUGGGGUAUUAAAAAACUCUCACACUGUCACUACUCAAGAAUAUGUUCUCAAUUCAUCUCUUCUUCCUCAAAAUACCCUAUAUGAUAGAUAAUAAGAGGUUGCUAUGACAGUAAGCAACCCUCACUUCCAAUGGAGAGGUUCGAGUCUCCUCAAUAGUAAUGUGGGAAGUUCUUGGAGGGAAGGAUACCGGGGGUCUAUUUGGAAACAACCUCUCUACCCUAUGGUAGGGGUAAGGUCUGCGUACAUACUACCCUCCCCAGACCCCACUAAGUGGGAUUACACUGGGUUGUUGUUGUUGUUUAAUUCUCAAUGAAUCAGAAAUUGCUCAUUUUUGUAAACUGAAAACUUAAAGCAUCAGAGAAUGGAUUCAAUGCAACAAUAAAACAGUUCAGUUGUUGGAAAUUUCUGAAGCUUUCUAUGUUCUAAACUCUCUCUGUUUUCAGAUUGCCUGUGUCUCUCUCUAUCAAAUUUUCAGAGUGAUUUAUCAGUGUAUCUCUCUCUUAUCAGAUUAUAUUUUGCC
rnacentral:lncRNA from 1 species